GCAUUGGUGGUUCAGUGGUAGAAUUCUCACCUUCCACGUGGGAGACUCAGGUUCGAUUACUAGCUGAUGCA
rnacentral:tRNA from 1 species